AAUCCAUAGGUUAAUGAGGCGAACCGGGGGAACUGAAACAUCUAAGUACCCCGAGGAAAAGAAAUCAACCGAGAUUCCCCCAGUAGCGGCGAGCGAACGGGGAGGAGCCCAGAGCCUGAAUCAGCAUGUGUGUUAGUGGAAGCGUCUGGAAAGGCGCGCGAUACAGGGUGACAGCCCCGUACACAAAAGCGCAUGUGCUGUGAGCUCGAUGAGUAGGGCGGGACACGUGGUAUCCUGUCUGAAUAUGGGGGGACCAUCCUCCAAGGCUAAAUACUCCUGACUGACCGAUAGUGAACCAGUACCGUGAGGGAAAGGCGAAAAGAACCCCGGCGAGGGGAGUGAAAAAGAACCUGAAACCGUGUACGUACAAGCAGUGGGAGCACAGGUUUACCUGUGUGACUGCGUACCUUUUGUAUAAUGGGUCAGCGACUUAUAUUCUGUAGCAAGGUUAACCGAAUAGGGGAGCCGGAGGGAAACCGAGUCUUAAUUGGGCGUUAAGUUGCAGGGUAUAGACCCGAAACCCGGUGAUCUAGCCAUGGGCAGGUUGAAGGUUGGGUAACACUAACUGGAGGACCGAACCGACUAAUGUUGAAAAAUUAGCGGAUGACCUGUGGCUGGGGGUGAAAGGCCAAUCAAACCGGGAGAUAGCUGGUUCUCCCCGAAAGCUAUUUAGGUAGCGCCUCGUGAAUUCAUCUCCGGGGGUAGAGCACUGUUUCGGCUAGGGGGCCAUCCCGGCUUACCAACCCGAUGCAAACUGCGAAUACCGGAGAAUGUUAUCACGGGAGACACACGGCGGGUGCUAACGUCCGUCGUGAAGAGGGAAACAACCCAGACCGCCAGCUAAGGUCCCAAAGUCAUGGUUAAGUGGGAAACGAUGUGGGAAGGCCCAGACAGCCAGGAUGUUGGCUUAGAAGCAGCCAUCAUUUAAAGAAAGCGUAAUAGCUCACUGGUCGAGUCGGCCUGCGCGGAAGAUGUAACGGGGCUAAACCAUGCACCGAAGCUGCGGCAGCGACACUGUGUGUUGUUGGGUAGGGGAGCGUUCUGUAAGCCUGUGAAGGUGUGUCGUGAGGCAUGCUGGAGGUAUCAGAAGUGCGAAUGCUGACAUAAGUAACGAUAAAGCGGGUGAAAAGCCCGCUCGCCGGAAGACCAAGGGUUCCUGUCCAACGUUAAUCGGGGCAGGGUGAGUCGACCCCUAAGGCGAGGCCGAAAGGCGUAGUCGAUGGGAAACGGGUUAAUAUUCCCGUACUUGGUGUUACUGCGAAGGGGGGACGGAGAAGGCUAUGUUGGCCGGGCGACGGUUGUCCCGGUUUAAGCGUGUAGGUGUGUGUUCCAGGUAAAUCCGGUUCACUUUAACACUGAGGCGUGACGACGAGGCACUACGGUGCUGAAGCAACAAAUGCCCUGCUUCCAGGAAAAGCCUCUAAGCAUCAGGUAACAUCAAAUCGUACCCCAAACCGACACAGGUGGUCAGGUAGAGAAUACCAAGGCGCUUGAGAGAACUCGGGUGAAGGAACUAGGCAAAAUGGUGCCGUAACUUCGGGAGAAGGCACGCUGACACGUAGGUGAAGUGAUUUACUCAUGGAGCUGAAGUCAGUCGAAGAUACCAGCUGGCUGCAACUGUUUAUUAAAAACACAGCACUGUGCAAACACGAAAGUGGACGUAUACGGUGUGACGCCUGCCCGGUGCCGGAAGGUUAAUUGAUGGGGUCAGCGCAAGCGAAGCUCCUGAUCGAAGCCCCGGUAAACGGCGGCCGUAACUAUAACGGUCCUAAGGUAGCGAAAUUCCUUGUCGGGUAAGUUCCGACCUGCACGAAUGGCGUAAUGAUGGCCAGGCUGUCUCCACCCGAGACUCAGUGAAAUUGAACUCGCUGUGAAGAUGCAGUGUACCCGCGGCAAGACGGAAAGACCCCGUGAACCUUUACUAUAGCUUGACACUGAACAUUGAGCCUUGAUGUGUAGGAUAGGUGGGAGGCUUUGAAGUGUGGACGCCAGUCUGCAUGGAGCCGACCUUGAAAUACCACCCUUUAAUGUUUGAUGUUCUAACGUGGACCCGUUACCCGGGUUGCGGACAGUGUCUGGUGGGUAGUUUGACUGGGGCGGUCUCCUCCUAAAGAGUAACGGAGGAGCACGAAGGUUGGCUAAUCCUGGUCGGACAUCAGGAGGUUAGUGCAAUGGCAUAAGCCAGCUUGACUGCGAGCGUGACGGCGCGAGCAGGUGCGAAAGCAGGUCAUAGUGAUCCGGUGGUUCUGAAUGGAAGGGCCAUCGCUCAACGGAUAAAAGGUACUCCGGGGAUAACAGGCUGAUACCGCCCAAGAGUUCAUAUCGACGGCGGUGUUUGGCACCUCGAUGUCGGCUCAUCACAUCCUGGGGCUGAAGUAGGUCCCAAGGGUAUGGCUGUUCGCCAUUUAAAGUGGUACGCGAGCUGGGUUUAGAACGUCGUGAGACAGUUCGGUCCCUAUCUGCCGUGGGCGCUGGAGAACUGAGGGGGGCUGCUCCUAGUACGAGAGGACCGGAGUGGACGCAUCACUGGUGUUCGGGUUGUCAUGCCAAUGGCACUGCCCGGUAGCUAAAUGCGGAAGAGAUAAGUGCUGAAAGCAUCUAAGCACGAAACUUGCCCCGAGAUGAGUUCUCCCUGAGACUUAAAGUCUCCUGAAGGAACGUUGAAGACGACGACGUUGAUAGGCCGGGUGUGUAAGCGCAGCGAUGCGUUGAGCUAACCGGUACUAAUGAACCGUGAGGCUUAACCUUACAACGCCGAAG
rnacentral:rRNA from 2 species